UUAGCAAGAUUGAGCUCCGUCAUUUGGAUCCAUUAGCCCGUACAGGAGCUCGCUCCAAUACUCGCGUUAUCCACAAAACGUAGCAGUAGAUAGAAGAUCGAGUUGCCAAGCGGGCUUCUCACAGUCUCCGUCCACAGUCUCCAGCGGCCGAUUGGAGACCGAGACGAUGAGCGCGCUCCUCACGGCCCCCGUCCACAGUCUCUAGCGGUUGAACGGGAGUGAGUCGGAAACGAGUCAGGCGCGCGCAUCUACCCGUAUGUGUAGUGCGUUUGGAGCUGCAAAGAAAUGCAGGAGUCCGGAUGCGCGAUGCCGAUGCGCUUUCUUCGCAAGUAGCUAGCAUGAUCCGAGUCCGAGUCUGCGGCCUGCUCAUUGUCAGCCCGCGUUUCUCAACCAAGAUGUCCGCGCGGCACCUGUUCGUCUUAUUCGUACUUCGUCUUGUUCGCUCGUAGACCACGUUGUUGUGUUGUGGUUCAACUCGUGACUUUAAAGUGAGUGCAUGUGUCACCGACGCCUAUGGAAUUGAGUGUGAAUACCACUUUUUAAGAUGUCCCUCUCCAACGUGUCAUUCGAUGAUCCGCUGACAUCUGCAAAACUCCCUUUGAAAACGCGGAAGAAGUUCACUGACCUUUCAAAAAGUGGUAAAAGAAAGCGUUUGGCAGCCCUUGCUCAAAAUAACUCACCUCUGCAAACAUCAAGUUUGAUACUCAAUAAACAAUCAUCAGGAGCCCCAAUCCCAGAGAUAUCCAAUGAAUCAUCUCUCAGCUAUGAUGCUGAUGAGGAAAACUCUGAUGCUGCUUCUGAAAGAUUAAAUACAUUAUCUAAUGAUGGAUUGGACCAUCUGAAUAUUGAUGAUCACUCAGUACUGUCUGAAGAAUGCCAUGAUGAUUCUGAUUUUCACUAUGACAGUAAUGAUUCUGAUUAUGAAUCAGCUGAAGAAGAUGCAUGUAACGACCCCUCAGGUUUGCCAAUGGAUUCUUGCGAGAAAGCUUUCAUGGAAUUUGAAGGUAAACUCUCUUUCAACAUAUUAGAGCUGCUGGUCCGAUGGACACUACUGUAUAAGGUCAAAAUGAAUGCUCUCUCUGCCCUCUUAAAAAUCCUGAAGAAUUGUCCUGCUUUCCAACACAUUCCUGGAGACGCUCGCACUCUUUUGAAGACUCCGCUCACAGAAAAUGCCACGCCAUUUGAAGAUGGAGAGUAUUUUCAUUUUGGUUUGUGGGAAAGUAUAUCUUCUGAAUUAGAAAAACUCCCCAAGUCCACAACUCAAAUUAAACUCAUCAUCAAUAUCGACGGUUUGCCUCUGUUCAAAAGCUCUGAUAGUCAGGUGUGGCCGAUAUUAGUUUCUAUCGUUGGUUCGAACAAAGUCUUCACUAUCGGUAUCUAUUCUGGACAAAGCAAACCAGAAAGCGCUGAAUCGUUCCUGAAAGAAUUUAUUAAUGAGCUGGAAACUUUAAUACAAACUGGUGCUAAACUCAGUGACGGCCGCAUUUUGCCUGUCUCUCUGCAUUGUGUUUGCUGUGAUGCACCUGCUAAGGCUUUUGUCCUAGGUUGCAAAGGCCACACUGGAUAUUGGUCUUGCACCAGGUGCACCCAAGAAGGAGAAUGGAUUGAAGGAAGAAUCGUCUUUCCUGUGACAAAUUCUGAAAAGCGAACUCAUGAAAAGUUCCUGCAAAAAACAGACGUUCAUUUUCACCAUGAACCCUCAGUAUUUGAGCGAAUCACCGGUAUAAACAUGAUUUCCAGUUUUUGUCUUGAUGUCCAGCACCUUGUUUACCUUGGAGUGAUGCGUAAAAUGUUGAAGUUAUGGAUGUGCGGAAAAGCUCCCUUCAAGCUUGGCACUUCCGCUGUGUUACGCUGUACUCAGCAAUUGUUUGAACUUCGUAGCUACAUACCUGUGGAGUUUUGUCGGAAACCGCGUGAUUUUUCCCUUAUCAAACGCUGGAAAGCCACUGAACUCCGCCAAUUCUUAUUGUAUACUGGUCCUGUUGUGUUGAAAUCGGUGCUGAUCAAGUCCAAGUAUGAAAACUUUUUGGUGUUAUGCGUGGCCAUGCGAAUUCUCCUGUCUCCCAGGCUUGUUGCCAAAGUUGAGCUGGUCCAGUAUGCACGAGAAUUGUUGUGUAAUUUUGUUGAAAGUUUCAAAAUUCUGUACGGCGUCAAAUUUUUAACCCACAAUUUUCACAACCUUGUGCACCUGGCAGAUGAUGCAGACAAAUUUGGUGCCCUUGAAACCGUCUCUGCUUUUAGAUUUGAGAAUCAUCUGCAAUUUUUGAAAAAGAUGGUGCGCAAACCAAGUGCAAUUCUGUCUCAAAUCAUUCGCAGAAUGGCUGAAAUUAAAGUUGCAGCAUUGCAGAAUACCAGUCAUGAAAGUAACGCCCACUCCAAAGAACCAGUGUUGGGCAAGCCCUCCUGUUUAGCAGUUCCAUAUGAUGAUGUCUGUGAACCACACUACUCAGAAGCCAAUUUUUCAGAGUUUAAAGUAUCCACCAAUAAAGCCAAUCGUUGUGUUGGCACUGUCGAUAACAAAAUAAUCAUUGUCGAGGGUUUCUCGUACUCUCCAAGCAGGAAGUGCAUGGUUGCCAUUGGAAAAACAUUCUUGAGGAAAUCUGAUCUUUUCUCUACUCCAUGUAAAAGCUCCCUUGUCGGUAUCCAUAAAGUUAGCAAGCUAUCUGCCGUUCAAUGCUGGCCUCUCACAGAUAUAGUAAUGAAGUAUGCUCUAUUCCCACUCAAAGAAGAAUUCGUUGCCGUUUCUCUUCUCCAUGCAGAUGAAAAAUAAAUUUUCUCCCUCUCAGCUCUCAGCCACAACAUCCGCUGUCAUUAUAACUGGAUCUGUAACCAUGGCUUUCUGUGUCGUUUCCCUGUUGGACCAAGGAGGAGAUCUGGUUGUAAUCAGAAAUAACUGGCUUUCAGAAAGUAAACCUAGUGAAUACUGUUACUAUCCAAGCCACGUCAAAAACAUUUCAC